rnacentral:pre_miRNA from 1 species
AACCUAGUUGGUUGCGAUAUGUUGCCAUUCAAUACCAUAUCACAGCUUGCUCUAGGUUUA